UGGGGAAUUUUGCUCAAUGGGCGCAAGCCUGAAGCAGCAACGCCGCGUGAGGGAUGAAGGCCUUCGGGUUGUAAACCUCUUUUCUCAGGGACGAUGAUGACGGUACCUGAGGAAUAAGUCACGGCUAACUACGUGCCGGCAGCCGCGGUAAUACGUAGGUGACCAGCGUUGUCCGGAUUUACUGGGCGUAAAGAGCGCGCAGGCGGUCGUUCAAGUCGAGUGUGAAAGCCCCCGGCUCAACUGGGGAGGGUCACUCGAUACUGAUCGACUUGAAGGCAGGAGAGGGCAGCGGAAUUCCCGGUGUAGUGGUGAAAUGCGUAGAUAUCGGGAGGAACACCAGUGGCGAAGGCGGCUUCCUGGCCUGUUCUUGACGCUGAGGCGCGAAAGCUAGGGGAGCAAACG
rnacentral:rRNA from 1 species